CCAAUAGCGUAUAUUAAAGUUGUUGCAGUUAAAAAGCUCGUAGUUGAAUUUCGGGAUCAGUUGAUCGGUCGUGCCUCGGUACGUACUGGUCAAAUUGAUUCCUACCUUCUGACGAACCACGAUGUCAUUAAUUUGAUGUCGUGGGAAAUCAGGACUGUUACUUUGAAAAAAUUAGAGUGUUUAAAGCAGGCUCGCGCUUGAAUACAUUAGCAUGGAAUAA
rnacentral:rRNA from 1 species